UCCUGGCGCUGCGAUGGGGACCGGGAUUGCUCUGAUGGCAGUGACGAGGAAGAGUGUAGAAUUGAGCCAUGUGCUCAGAAUAGGCAGUGCCAGCCACAGCCUGCCCUUCCUUGCUCCUGUGACAACAUCAGUGGUUGCUCCGCUGGCUCAGACAAGAACCUCAACUGUAGCCGCUCACCCUGUCAGGAGGGCGAGCUGCGUUGCAUACUGGAUGAUGUCUGUAUCCCACACACGUGGCGCUGUGAUGGCCACCCAGACUGUCCUGACUCCAGUGAUGAGCUCAGCUGUGAUCAGGAUGAAUUCUAAGAGUUGGGCACUGGAAACCUUGUGUACUGUACUGCUAAGCCUUGAGCGCCCCUCAACUACUCAUGCCUGGGCUUAUUGCAGACACCGACACAGAAACUGACAAGAUAUUCCAGGAGGAGAAUGCCACAACCUCAAUGUCUUCUAUGAUUGUGGAGAAAGAGACCUCUUUCAGAAAUGUCACAGUUGCUUCUGCUGGGCACCCAUCCCGAAACCCAAAUGCCUAUGGGGUUAUCGCAGCUGCUGGGGUGUUGAGUGCCAUCCUGGUUUCAGCUACCAUUCUCAUAUUGCUACGACUCAGAGGUCAGGGUUAUCUACCCCCAACAGGGCUGUUGGUGGCUGUGAAGGAGUCGCUGCUGCUGUCAGAAAGGAAAACCUCUUUGAUCUGAGGACAUGGUUCCCACCUGGCCCUGAGUACAGUCAGACUGGAACAAAGCUGCAGUGGAACAUGCAGGUAGCAACUGGCUUCUCAGCUCCGAGACCUGGGCUCUUUUGGCCACAGAGAACUUUGAUUUUUAAACUUCUUCAGAUGUGGUCCUGGAGACUGGAGGUCGUCAGACACUCCCUUUGUAUGUGGUGAGCUUUGCUGGAAAAUCGCCAUAGCCAGGACUGAGGGGCCAGUCCCAGGAUGCUCCCAAGAAAUGGGGCCACCCUGAUCUAAACACUCCUUCUGCUCACAUUGAUGGGCAGCUAUUAAAGUUUCUUCACCCCCUC
rnacentral:lncRNA from 1 species